UACGGAGGGUGCAAGCGUUAUCCGGAUUCACUGGGUUUAAAGGGUGCGUAGGUGGGUUGGUAAGUCAGUGGUGAAAUCCCCGAGCUUAACUUGGGAACUGCCAUUGAUACUAUCAGUCUUGAAUACCGUGGAGGUCAGCGGAAUAUGUCAUGUAGCGGUGAAAUGCUUAGAUAUGACAUAGAACACCAAUUGCGAAGGCAGCUGGCUACUCGGAUAUUGACACUGAGGCACGAAAGCGUGGGGAUCAAACAGG
rnacentral:ncRNA from 3 species